rnacentral:rRNA from 1 species
GACGAACGCUGGCGGCGUGCUUAACACAUGCAAGUCGAACGGAAAGGCCUUGCUUUUGUGGGGUACUCGAGUGGCGAACGGGUGAGUAACACGUGGGUAACCUGCCCUUGACUUUGGGAUAACUUCAGUAAACUGGGGCUAAUACCGGAUAGGAGCUCCUGCUGCAUGGUGGGGGUUGGAAAGUUUGGGCGGAUGGGGAUGGACUCGCGGCUUAUCAGCUGGUAGGUGGGGUAGUGUCUGACCAAGUCUUUGACGGGUAGCCGGCCUGAGAGGGUGACCAGCCGCCUGAGGACGGAGAUGCGGCCCAGAAUCCUACGGGAGGCAGCAGUAGGGAAUAUUGCACAAUAGGCGGAGGCCGGAUGAAGGAACGCCGCGGGGGGGAUGUCGGCCUUCGGGGUGUAAACCGCUUUCGCCUGUGACGAAGCGGGAGUGACGGUAAUGGGUAAAGAAGCACCGGCUAACUACGUG